rnacentral:sRNA from 1 species
GUGCCGCCCGAGAUCGAUUUCUUCGAUCCGAUAAACACGCCGGUGGCUGGGAACUAGUAGAUUGAUCCCCAAUGCUCUGAUACCACUUGUUAUGAAAAUAGAUGCACAACGGAGACACGAAUUUUUACGUGGAAACCCUUGUGGGAAAAAACCACGGGCGCCGACCGGCAAUGAUCACUAUAGAGGAGAUAAUUACAAACGUAGAGGAAUAACAAUGGGAACGUCACCCCUUCCCGUACGGUUUACAAGAGUAUAUAUAGGGGAUAAUAGAAAGACACCUAAUAGGAACUCCUACUAGGAAACUAAUCCUACUAGCAAACUAAUCCGAAUAUAUUGUGGGCCCAAAAUUCGGAUCACAUAUUUAACAAAAGUGGUAGGAAGGCCUACUCUUAAUACACUAACCAUCCCAUUGGAUCAUGCUGAAGGUGUAGCUCCUACUCGCAGCUGAUGCAUGCCUUAUGGCGAAGUCGCAUCGUGCUACCCAAGAGGCAAAUUAUUGCCUGUCGAUCAUAGCUAUUAGUUCAAAGCCUUUUACUAUGGCUUCGCUAAGACUGCUAAAAUUUGGUAUGCCUAUAAGGAUGGCGAUAAUUUUGAAUUCCCUGCCAGUUUUAAACCCAAUUUGAUUAAUAAAGAAGGGAUAUCUUCAUAUCAACCAUCACCCAUUGCCUUCUUCCAACCGGGGUCUCCAC